rnacentral:rRNA from 1 species
AUUGAACGCUGGCGGAAUGCUUUACACAUGCAAGUCGAGCGGCAGCGCGGCCUUCGGGCUGGCGGCGAGCGGCGAACGGGUGAGUAAUGCAUCGGAACAUGCCCAGUCGUGGGGGAUAACACUUCGAAAGAAGUGCUAAUACCGCAUACGUCCUGAGGGUGAAAGCGGGGGAUCGCAAGACCUCGCGCGAUUGGAUUGGCCGAUGUCAGAUUAGCUAGUUGGUGGGGUAAAGGCCUACCAAGGCGACGAUCUGUAGCUGGUCUGAGAGGAUGAUCAGCCACACUGGGACUGAGACACGGCCCAGAAUCCUACGGGAGGCAGCAGUGGGGAAUUUUGGACAAUGGGGGCAACCCUGAUCCAGCCAUUCCGCGUGAGUGAAGAAGGCCUUCGGGUUGUAAAGCUCUUUCGGCAGGAACGAAACGGUGGGCUCUAACAUAGUCCGCUAAUGACGGUACCUGAAGAAGAAGCACCGGCUAACUACGUG